ACAAUUAGGAUAAUAGGAUGCUAUCCCUGGAGAACUGCAGUCUGCUCUGCUUCUGCUGGACUGUUCUAGGAAAGGAGUGCUUAAUGUUAGUCUCUAAUUUCAUAUCCCUCAUCUUGGUGCCAACUCAGUAAUGCAGGAUUUGGUUUGCAGACAGCCUCAGAUGGCUGUAACUGAGGUGUGCAGGCACUGUUCUUUGAGCAUACAAAGGAUGCAUAACCCUAGGAUAACCACCAACUAAGAAGAGGUCCUAGGAACCACACACUGAAAUCAAGUGGUGCUUUUAAUCUACUUUGUAUGCAGAUUUGAUGACACAAUGCUGUAAUUGCUACAGAAACUGGAAGAGAAAUGCCAACACCACCUGUCCAUCUUCACACUCACUUUGUGCUGCAGAGCUGGAUUCCCAGGAGAUGACAGAAGCUGCAGAAGGCAGAUGGGGGUGGGAGAGUUUUUCUCUGCCCUGUCCUGUGCUCUGAGCUGCAGCCACAUGGGCCCUGAGCAGGACAGGCUCCAAUCCUGGCAAGCUCUUGUGGGUGAUUUCAGUCAUCAUGAUGUUUUGUCAGACUUCCACACAGAAUGAAACAUCAGCAGUGUGACUUUUAUUAAGUGUGUUGAAAACUGACUGUCAAGAGAAGGGGAAAUGUGUAACUGACCACACCUUGGAGUAACCAAUGGUGCAACCUGCCAGCCUGCUGGUACGCCUCAGGGAAUACCACAGGCAACUGAGGUGUAACUGUGCAAUUAAUGUUCUCAUGGGGCUGUGGACAUCAAAUCCAGCCCUGGAGCUGCAGAAGAGUGAUUCCCACAACACUGUGCUAGCACCAGCCAUACUGAAUGUAUUUACAAUUCUCAAAGCACUACAUGAAAGAGAUUCUAAACACUCAUAGUACCUGGUUGAUCUUGAAUGACAGUAACUACUGGAAGACUGGCACGAACCCAAAUAGUGAUAGGGCACUGCAGACAGAUGUAAAGAUGCUUUCCUGGUCUGGUGGGAGGUGUCCCUGUCCACAGCAGGAACUUGGAAGCAGAUGAUCUUUAAGCUCCCUUCCAACUCAAGCCAUUUUAGGAUUCUGUGAUUCCGAAACCAGCACCAGGUAUGCUAAAGUCUGUCCUGGCUAACAUGCUUCCACACACAGAAAGCCUGGAGCCAGAUGGAGUUUUUCUUAAAUGCAAUCCGGAGUAAGAGGAUCAGCCUGACUUGAGCACUCACGGGCAUGGUCCUACCCAUUGGCCAGAGGAGAAAGAUCAGGAACUAUUUCCAAAAUAAGAACAUGAGUCCAGCCAGGAAGGCAGUGCUAGGUGUAAUAACCAUUAUCUGCUAGUCAUGUGGUGAAGGCUGUCGCCCAUAAAAGAUUUCAUCCACAGCAGAUUUUGCCACAUCUAUCUUGCCAUUAUUAUUAUUAUGGGUAGAUCAAAAUCAAUAAAGAGCCAUACAGCUACCAAAACCUCUCUGCUUUUAUCUAGCAUCAGACUGCAUCCAGCAUCCUGAUUACCCAAUUGUGCACAUUGAGCAAGGAAAGAUUGCACUGCAAGAUCUGGAUGAGCCACCCUGGAACAGAUGCAGAGGUCCCAGUUUUCAUCUCACAUCCUCCUGCUUCCCGCACUCUGCUGGUUCUCCUUAGAUCUGGCUCUUGUUCUCUUGCCUCUGAAUGGGACAGCUUCCUCCUUCAUUCCCAUUGCCUAGAUGCCAGCAGGGAGGUCACUGGGGGUACAUGGCAGUGUCCAUGUUCUCAGUGUGUUGCUUGGCUCCAGCUAUGUGUGUAGCAGCUGGAAACAGCCAUCACUGGGACAUUCUGUCCUCAUCACAUCAUCCCAGGCUGCAACGUGUGUGGUGGCUUUGUGAGGAGAGUGCGUGCCCAGGUAAGGGGCUGAGAAGGGUUGGAGACUUAUUGAGCUGUGGGAAUGAUGCACACACAGGACUGAAGUUGCAAGAGGCAUGAGUUUGCUCUGGGACAUUCUUAACCUGUAAAUAGUAGCAAGUGUCUCUGUAAACUGAGAACUGAAAUACCCUAAAAGUUGGCCAAAUUAGAGUAGAUUUUCUUUCAAGAAUUAAAAAAGCAUCUGACAAAG
ensembl:lncRNA